rnacentral:sRNA from 1 species
AAACACCCGCGUUAGCGAUUGCAGCGGCAUCCUUUUUUGUUUUUCUCAAAAAAGAUAUAGCGGAAAGCGCGACCACGU